rnacentral:misc_RNA from 1 species
GGAUGUUAUUAAAGACUGGCUUCAGGCUGAUCAGCCAAGAAAUACUGAACAAGAGUAACGCCGGUUAAGCCGGCGUUUUUUU